CACGUAGGGUGCGAGCGUUGUCCGGAAUUAUUGGGCGUAAAGAGCUCGUAGGCGGUGUGUCGCGUCGGCCGUGAAAACCUGCAGCUUAACUGUGGGCGUGCGGUCGAUACGGGCAUCACUGGAGUUCGGCAGGGGAGACUGGAAUUCCUGGUGUAGCGGUGAAAUGCGCAGAUAUCAGGAGGAACACCGGUGGCGAAGGCGGGUCUCUGGGCCGAUACUGGCGCUGAGGAGCGAAAGCGUGGGGAGCAAACGGG
rnacentral:rRNA from 1 species